UACGUAGGGGGCAAGCGUUGUCCGGAAUCAUUGGGCGUAAAGCGCGUGUAGGCGGCUAGGAAAGUCUGGUGUGAAAUCUUAGGGCUCAACCCUAAGCGGUCACUGGAUACUUCCUGGCUUGAGUCCGGAAGAGGAGAGUGGAAUUCCUGGUGUAGCGGUGGAAUGCGCAGAUAUCAGGAGGAACACCAACGGCGAAGGCAGCUCUCUGGUACGUGACUGACGCUGAGACGCGAAAGCGUGGGUAGCAAACAGG
rnacentral:rRNA from 1 species